rnacentral:lncRNA from 1 species
UUUUGGGUCCCGCUGUGAUCCGAAUGUUUCCGGAACCUCGGGGUCCGGUUACGGGGAACUCGUCAAAACUAGCAGUUUCGGCCUAUUCUGGCUCGUUCUGUAUGCUAUUGCUCAAUGAUUUUGGAUCCCGCUGUGAUCCGAACGUUUUCGGAACCCCGGGGAACGGUUACGGGAACUCGUCAAAACUCCUAGUUUUUGCCUACUCCGGCCCGUUUUGUAUGCUAUUAGUCACUUAUUUUGGGUCCCGCUGUGAUCCGAACGUUUCGGGAUCGAACCCCUUGGUCCGAUUACGGGAACUCGUCAAAACUCGCAGUUUUCGCCUACUCCUGCCAAUUUUGUAUGCUAUUACUAACUGAUUUUGGGUCCCGUUGUGUUCCGGACGUUUAAGGAACUACGUGGUCCGGUUACGGGGAACUCGCGAAAACUCGCAGUUUUGGCCUAUUCCGACCAGUUUUGUAUGCUAUUAGUCACUGAUUUUGGGUCCCGUUGUGAUUUGAACGCUUCGGGAACCCUAGGGUCCGGUUACGGGGAACUCGUCAAAACUCGCAGUUUUCACCUAUUCACGCCAGUUUUGUAUGCUAUUCGUCACGGAUUUUGGGUCCUGCUGCGAUCCGAACGUUUUGGGAACCUCAGGGUCCGGUUAUGGGGAACUUGUCAAAACUCGCAGUUUUGGCC